AAAGGGUGUGAACAGUGCUGGAAUGUUCUAAGUAGAUUUACUCAAGAACUGAACUUUAGUACAAUUCAAGAGGGAGUCGGGUUGGCUUCCCCCGGCUCUUUGUUGGGAGAAGACGCCUGGCAGUUCAUCCUCACCCAGUGUAACCCAGGUUUUGUUGACCCACAGGAUCAAAUGACCACAGUUCUGGUGCCUCCAGUCAACUACUUCACACGCUUUCAUACAAUCGAAACCACGCACUGGUGUCCAUGCCAUUCAGUAAAGCAACAGUACACAUUUAGCCCUCACUGGGAACAGUAGGGCUGUGUCCUGGUAUUCCAUUCCCAAAAUGCGACCAGUUCUCAAGGUGUCCGCCUCACAACUCAGAGAAAUCCUAUUGGUGCCAUAACUGCCUGCAGUAGAAACACAGACACCAUCUUCUCCCCUUCCAGUGGACUCAUACGUAGUGCAUUGCCCAGCUAAAUGAGUCAGGACGCGACAUGGGUCAGUCAUACGAUGACAUCGGAGUAGAGUUACAGCUGCCAACCCCCCCGAAAUCAUCCAACACCAACAACCCCACACUUCCCAAAACAUGAACAGGGGGAUCAUGGGACACAUAUCUAUAAAAAGACUCAAAAGGUAGCCGAACAUUCUAGUGUUUCCAGCUCUGACGACUCAUCAACAUGUACUUAAUUCCUGUCUGCAAUGUGUCCUCAAUAAAAGGGAAAAACAAUCAAUUUUAUUUUUGACUGAAAACAGACAAGAGCAGCUAAUUCCCACAAUUUUGAGGCUUGAGGAAGAACAUAUUUAGCCUUUUUGUUUGUAAAAUUCGAUGUAAAUUUGUUAGGUGAUCAAGAUGUUGGCCAUUCUUUUUUCAAUCAACAAACUGAUUGACUGAUUAUAUAUCAGAAUUAACUGAACAACUUGCAUUAAAAAAAUCUACUGUCCUUUGAAAUAAACACUACCAGACACAUAUUUAUACUUUUUUAUAAAACAACUUGUCCACAAACAUGCUUGCACCCAUGUAGCACAUAUCUGUAGAAUUACAGCAUAGUAACGAAGGUUAAAUACAUGUUUAACUGUAAUUCCAUGUACAAUUGAUAAAAAAUGUGGCACUUAAAUUUGUUAUCUAUAUCGAUGGGAUUAUUUGUAUUAAUGUGUGCUGGCAACUUUACUCAAUAAAGUUUUAUUUUGUCUUUA